GGCAGGCGGGGUCCCCCAGCACGGCGGGGCCGCUCCUCCGGCCCUGCGGGUCCUCGCAGCACCCCUUACGCCUACUGGGGCCGGGCAGCAAACAGACUUUGAUCCUCCGAGCUGAGUCCACGUGCCAAGACCCCGCCUGGCGGGUGGCCUGAGACCCUCCCUCUGGGCUUCCACCGGCCUGCAUCCAGUAGAAGAGACCAGAGACCGCGCCCGCUGUGUGACAGACUGCAUCCAGGGAGGGGCCGAGAGGGGGAGCCCGUGGGUACGGGACUCCCGGGUUGGGGUGGGUGGGGUGCGGGUCCUGUCAAAGAACCGGGAUGAGGCCGCAUCCGUAAAGGAGUGCUGCAUGAACUUGGGACUGCUCAACACCGAGCUGAGGAGUUAGACCUUAGGAGCAGUCUCGCAAGCGGCGAGAACUGAGUCUUUGUAAAUAUAUCAGUAAAUAUUUACACCUAUCACCACCAUCCCUAGGAGACCUUGUGUAAAGGCAGAUAUUUCUGUCACUGAUUAUCUAAGGACAGUUUAGGCUACAGACUUCAAGCAGGGGCAACCUGGGUUCUGGUGCUGGCUUUGUCACUAGCCAGCUGUGUGACUUUAGAAGAGUCCACUAAUCUCUCUAGACCUGUUUCUUCAAACAUAAAGGAUUGGGCAAGAGGAUCUCUUCAGAUUCUUUCUGACUCUAAAAUUCUAAGGCUCUAUGAUUGAACAAACAUUUUAUUUAUGGACUACAAAUAGCCAAACCCUGUGUUGGUUGCUAUGGGGAAGGGGAGGGGCGGUUGAGAAUAAGGAAGAAUGCGCUUAGUCCGGUGGAGGUAAAAUACAAACGUAUAAAAUGUUUAAAUUACAAUGAAAUACUCAAUAACUUGUACCAACAUGAAUUUAGAGUGCAAACAUAUGCACUGAGUGGAGAUUAGUUCAUCUGGAAGUGAAGAGUUCCCGAUCCUAAAGUAGAGGGGUGGCUGGAAUCAGGUAACCUAAGCCAGACCCCUGAAAGGCCUCACCACAGCCCCUGAACAGGAGGAAGAACCCCCACUGUUUUGGACAAAACAAGACAAAGGCAAAGCUAGCCAGUGCCUCAGGAUCUAUACAUAAGGCUAGUUUGGAGCCUUGUUAUUUUGCAUUAAAAAAAUAUAUUUCUAUUUUCCCCC